UACGAAGGGAGCUAGCGUUGUUCGGAAUCACUGGGCGUAAAGCGUGCGCAGGCGGCUUUGUAAGCCAGAUGUGAAAUCCCCGGGCUUAACCUGGGAAUGGCAUUUGGGGCUGCAAGGCUCGAGUGCGGCAGAGGAGACUGGAAUUCCUGGUGUAGCAGUGAAAUGCGUAGAGAUGCGGCGGAACACCGAUGGCGAAGGCAGCCCCCUGGGCUGAGAUUGACGCUCAGGCACGAAAGCGUGGGGAGCAAACAGG
rnacentral:rRNA from 1 species